UACGGGGGGGGCAAGCGUUGUUCGGAAUUACUGGGCGUAAAGGGCUCGUAGGCGGCCAACUAAGUCAUACGUGAAAUCCCUCGGCUUAACCGGGGAACUGCGUCUGAUACUGGAUGGCUUGAGUUCGGGAGAGGGAUGCGGAAUUCCAGGUGUAGCGGUGAAAUGCGUAGAUAUCUGGAGGAACACCGGUGGCGAAGGCGGCAUCCUGGACCGGCAUUGACGCUGAGGCGCGAAAGCCAGGGGAGCAAACGGG
rnacentral:rRNA from 1 species